rnacentral:lncRNA from 1 species
CCCACCAAGCCCAGAUUUGUCUGGCACUUUUAGUCUUCUUCUGAGAUUUCGGCCCUCUGCUUCGCAAUGGUCAAUUUAAGUUUUUCUUCUGCGAUUUUGGCCCUCUGCUUCGCAAUGGUCAAGUCCAGGUUUCCGUUUUGGUGGAUCGUCUUUCUUUUGGCAUUGGACAAGCUUUUUGCUGCAUUGUAACCUCCUUCUUGAAUUUGGUCAUUGUAUACUUGAAAUGGUUGAAACCCAGACGAAAUUAGUAUUUCUAUCUUUACUUAUCUUUUACUCUGAUAAUAUAAAAACUGCGUUUGUCAUAUUAUCUACUAAAAUUUAAGUAAAGAGGGGCAGC